ACCACCUGCUGUGCAAGCACAAGGACCCGCGUUCGAUCCCCAGUACCAAAAAAAAAAAGUUAAGAGAUGUGAUUAAAAAGAGCCUCUUCCCCAGGCAACACUAAUUUCUCUCUGUGGCACAGCUGCGCUGAGGGUCAGAUUUGACCCCUAGGUGGUCACUGGUGUUGGGGGCGGGGUGUGACAUCCUGAUUGGAAAGGAUGAGGGGAAAGUGAGCUUUGCACUUGAGGUGUGUGAUUCAGGAAGGAGGAAAAUGAGGGAGCCGAGGCUGUGGUUCCAGAAGCCCCUUUGAAGGUUUGUCACCUGGUGCCCAACCCUGCCGAGGAAUAGUGAGUGAAUAUGGAACACUCAGCAUGGGGCCGGCAAGGCUCCGUCCUCACUGAGUGGUGGUUAACAAAAGUAAAGACAAAGAAAUGGGGCUGUUGCUGUCCAGUUCCCUGUGGGUCCCCGAGUCCCCCUGUGGCUGGCACACAGAGCAUCUUUUCGGUGGAACCAGGGAAAGAGUCCUGCAGUUCUGUGACCUGGGCCUCCUUCUGUAGGAGGCGACAGGAGAAGGGAGAGGAGAGCAUUUGUCUGGUCUGCGGGACCUCGGCACCAUCUGGAGACCCCAGAAGGGGUCAUCGUUUGCUGCACAGCCUUUUGGUCCUCAUGAAGCUCAGGUGUGGUUGUGAGGCCCCAAAGUGUCCCUCACGAGUGUCCCCUGGCAAGUGGGGAUAACAGACUUCUGGAAGUGUUUUAACUAUAGCGGCUGGCGUUUUGACAUCUUGCCCUGGAGCACCGCCAUGGUUGUUCUCAGCUCUGCUAGGUGAAUGUUGCCCUCGAGGUCUUCGGAGUGGACCUCUGAGAUGACAGACACCUGUCACCUUGAAGGCUAGAGAAGUGUCUUGCGCUUGCCUGGCACAGCCCACGGGGGCAGCAAAUGGUGAAUCGGACCUGUUUAUUAGCUACCUGCUUCCUUGAGAACCAAUUAUGGAGAAGACUCAGCUCCACCUCCACUCUUGGGCAUGGAGCUCUGCAUGGUGGCAGCGGUGCCUUUUAUUGAAUCUCUCCCUGUAGCUGGUGCAGCACUCACUGCCCCAAACCAAUACUUUCUAAUAUUUUCAGAAGCAAAGGUGAGUGGUGUGCUUGCUUAAGUUUUUAAUUUCUGAUGCUUUCCCAUGUGUCUGUGGCCGGGGCACUGUGUAACUGCAUAUCAGGCCUCAGGAUGGGCUCUGAGCUCAGCUGUGGGUGGCAGCAAUGGAAGCCAGCACCUUCCCUGGACUGUCUUACAGAGCAGAGGCGCUUACUGACUUCUCACAGCCCAUCCUUCAGUUGGCUCCAGCCAGUGUGCCCCUUACUCUGAAGCUGCCAUGGGUGUGAGGGUCUUGCUGCAUGGCUGUAAAGAGCAAUGUGAGGCUCACUGGGGCUCAGGCUGCCUUUAUAGUGGAGUGGAUGCUGCUCCAUCUCAUUUGAAUGCCUUCAAUAAGCACUUGAGAAGGCGAUUUUAACGUCUUUUGUAUGUCGAGUGGUUUGAUGUACCACUUGGACUGGAAAAAAGGACAAUGAAUGAGAACCCUCAGAUAUUAACAGAGCAUCAGAAUGUCUUGCCUGUUCUUGUACUCGAUGUAAGAUGUAAUUCCAGGAAUGACCUUGAUGUAGGUGUUCGGAAGCUCAUUCGUUUUGCAAAGGCAUAGGCCAAAAUCAAAUAAAGGAUUUUGCCUGAACAUCAAGGGCAAAGCUGA